rnacentral:rRNA from 1 species
UGCCAGCAGCCGCGGUAAUACGAAGGGACCUAGCGUAGUUCGGAAUUACUGGGCGUAAAGCGCGCGUAGGUGGUUUGUUAAGUUGGAUGUGAAAGCCCUGGGCUCAACCUAGGAACUGCAUCCAAAACUAACUCACUAGAGUACGAUAGAGGGAGGUAGAAUUCAUAGUGUAGCGGUGGAAUGCGUAGAUAUUGUGAAGAAUACCAAUGGCGAAGGCAGCUCUCUGGCUCGUCACUGACGCUGAGGUGCGAAAGCGUGGGUAGCAAACAGGAUUAGAUA